UUAAGUUUGUUUAUUCAGUUUGUGGAUGUUUCUCAGCUCAUUAACAUUUCUUCACCCAAACUACAGAUUGCUCCUUUAAAAAGUUAAGACUCGGCUCGAUAACAAAGAAAUCGUCACGUUCGCUUCACCGGUGAGGAAGUCUGAGCCGCCGACGAGAUGUUUGAGCAGGAAAAUGAUUUUAAUUAACCAAAUAAUGUCAAAGAUUAAAGCCGACGUCCCAAAAAGUCGAAAUGUUGCACUUUGUAAUCUGUUACAGUUUCUACUCGUGUUUCAAAGAAAGAGUGAAGACGUUGUGUUGAAAUACUCUGUUCCUCUGUGAGCGGUAACAAGUCACCCACAGGGAAAGUCAGUUACAGGUAACUAUGUUAUCAAACAGAUGUAAUCGAGUAUAAAGUGCAGAAUUUGUCUCCAAAAUCUAAAAAGAAGCAGAAGAAUUAAGUAAAAGGAAAGAAAAAGGAAACGCUGAAGUAAAGUAGAAGUUCCUUCAGAUUCGUACACACAGAACUAAACGUACUCAGUUUCUCUCCCACAGACUCUGAAGACUCGACAUGCAGACGGCUGUAACGCUGCCAGUGAAGACUGUGAUGUGGAAGAGUCACAGCAGGAUUCAUUAACAGACACAGUAACUAUAAAAAGCUCUUCUUCCAGGAGAGGCGCUGACUCAUGGAUUCGGUAAAGCGGGCCGACUUCCUCAGCACAGGACCAGAACCACACAGGUAGAGACACAGUCGUCUAACUUCUGGUCUAAAUCCGUCGUCACUGGGAGCGUUCAGCAUCUUCUGUCGGGCCGGAGCAGAGCUUCCUCCAGCCUCCCUCAGGGGGGAAGGUGACUGGACCGGAAGAGGAAGUCAGAACAAGAAGCGGGCCGGACACGAGCAGAACUACAUUAGAUCACUCUCAUUCCUCGAGCUUCUGGCUUUCCAGAUGGAGUCUCGGCUGAGUCGACUCGAAGGAAUGUGAUCACAUGCGAUUGAUCGGCCUCCAUGACGACGCAGAGUGACUCAGUGGAGCCACGUGUUGCCAUGGCGGCGAAAUGACUGAGUAACUGAGAGCGAGCUGACAUUUCUAUACGUCUCCAUGGAAACGUGAGGAACCACCCUCAGCCGUCGAGGUGUCGGUGCCCCUUUUUGCUAUUUCAGUGCCUCCUUGCUUCCCUCAUGAAGGAGGUGUGGUGCUGUUGGAAUGGGGUGGAGGGGAUGUGAGCGGCGCCGAGAUCCUUUGUUCAACGCCGGAGAAACAAAAAUAAUCAGUCCAGUGUUUAUAUUUGAGUAAUGAACGUUUCAUUUUGGAGAUUCUGACCUUUUCCAGGAUGCCCAGUGGUGAGCGGCCAUGGAUCCAGUCCAGCGACACACAACAAGAAGUGUGGUUGGCUGGUCGGUCUCUGUAAAUAUUUCUCCUGGGAUCCGUCGUUAAUGGCCACCAUGAUUUUACCCAGAGGAGCGUUCAAGUCUCGUCUGGUGGCUGUUUAGUUUCCUCAGCAGCAGCGCCUGCCCGUGUUUUUACAGUCUCGCUGGCGUCCGGCUGCCUGUGAGCGGUCGUUUGCUGAUGGCCAAAUCAGGACACAUUCCACAGAGGUCACAGGUCGAACGCAGUGGAAAUCUACAGGAUAUAUUCAGGAAUGUAGGAUUUAAAGGUUUCCUCCUCGCUCUUCCCGCUCCCACCCGAACGCUGCUGCCCUGCCACUGAUGAAUGCAUGCAGGGACGGACAGGAACGUCCCUCCACUGUUCCCCCCUGCAGUAAAUAAGACGGCCUCUCCGAGGAGGUAACGCUGGCACGCUGUCAGAAAUAUUCUCAACUUCCUGUGACCCCCAGAAACAAGAACAAUGGCUCUGGGCUCCUGUGAGACGAGUACACGUGACGAUGUUGGACGAGCUGAUUGUUUUCGUGCUGCUGGCUGGAGAAACAUCAAGUGAGAGUGAAGCAUGAGAGCAGGAAAGCUGCAGACCAGGAGGACUGAACAGGACUCAGAGUCCUGAUGCGUGUGACGGACUCGGCUUCUUCCCCCGAGACUCUGAGCUCCCUCGUCUCGCAGUUCACACAGACUGUGGUCGGUCCUGCUCUUCAUCUUCUUCAUCUUCAUCUUCUUUUAGUAUUACUGAUUCUCAUAUCUCCAUUAUUGAAUCUGUUACUUCUGUUGUAGCCUCUAGUUUAAGGAGCCAUAAUGAGUUUCUGCCCUUGUUAGUCUCAAUCAGGAUUAUAAUGUGGUUAGUUAAUGGCUGAAUAUUUCCUCAGAAUAACAUAAUCCGUUUUCUGUGAUGUAGUUACUGAAUUUGAACCUGGACUGUGCAGGACUGUGUGAUGUGGACACUUUGUGCUUUCCAGCUGAAAUUAAACAACGUUCAAACUUUAAUUAAAGCCAGAAGCACCUCAAGCUCCCGAACCUCCGAAUUUAAACUGAACUUUACUUCACAGGAAGCUCGCUGUCCUCCGUCCUCCCCCACUUUUUUAAAAUAAACUCAC